rnacentral:rRNA from 1 species
GUAGCAGAAUAGUUUGUUCUUUAAUUGGGAGUUGGUAUGAAGGGUUACACAAAAAAUAUCUUUUAAGUUAAGUAAAGUAAUUUGAAUUUUAAGUUAAAAUGCUUAAAUGAGGUAAAGGGACGAUAAGACCCUAAAAGCUUUAAUUAUCUAUAAUUUUAUUCAAGUUAUUGUAAAUAAUAGUUUGAUGGUAAUAUUAGCUGGGGAAGCGGCUCUAGUAUAAUUAGAGUUUAAAUAGACUUGUAUAUAGGUUUAUGAUCCUUUUUAUAAGGAUAAGUAGAGAAAGUUACUUUAGGGAUAACAGCGCAAUGGUCUUGGAAAGUUCUUAUUUAUAGGAUUAUGUGCGACCUCGAUGUUGAAUUAGAAUGUCUUUAAGGAGUAGAAGACUUAGAAGAGGGUUUGUUCAACCUUUAAAUUUUU